rnacentral:rRNA from 1 species
UUUGAUCGUGGCUCAGUGACGAACGCUGGCGGCGUGCUCUAACACAUGCAAGUGCGCAACGUGAUUCUUAGUGGAAGUUCUUUCGGGAAUGGAAGUUCAACUGAAAGUGGCGAACGGGUGAGUAACAUCGUGAGCAACCUGCCUUACACAGAGGGAUAGCCACUGGAAACGGUGAUUAAUACCUCAUGAGACCACAGUGCCGCAUGGUAUAGGGGUGUAAAGAUUUAUCGGUGUAAGAUGGGCUCGCGUCUGAUUAGCUAGUUGGAAGGGUAGCGGCCUACCAAGGCGACGAUCAGUAGCCGGUCUGAGAGGAUGAACGGCCACACUGGAACUGAGACACGGUCCAGACUCANUACGGGAGGCAGCAGUGGGGAAUAUUGCACAAUGGGGGGAACCCUGAUGCAGCGACGCCGCGUGAGCGAAGAAGGCUUUCGAGUCGUAAAGCUCUGUCCUAUGAGAAGAUAAUGACGGUAUCAUAGGAGGAAGCCCCGGCUAAAUACGUGCCAGCAGCCGCGGUAAUACGUAUGGGGCGAGCGUAGUCCGGAAUUAUUGGGCGUAAAGGGUACGUAGGCGGCCAUUUAAGAUCAGGUGUGAAAGCGUGAGGCUUAACCUCAUGAAGCACUUGAAACUGGAAGGCUUGAGUGAAGGAGAGGAAAGUGGAAUNCCUAGUGUAGCGGUGAAAUGCGUAGAUAUUAGGAGGAAU